rnacentral:rRNA from 1 species
AUUGAACGCUGGCGGCAUGCUUUACACAUGCAAGUCGAACGGCAGCGCGGGGCAACCUGGCGGCGAGUGGCGAACGGGUGAGUAAUAUAUCGGAACGUACCCAGAAGUGGGGGAUAACGUAGCGAAAGUUACGCUAAUACCGCAUACGAUCUACGGAUGAAAGUAGGGGACCGCAAGGCCUUAUGCUUUUGGAGCGGCUGAUAUCUGAUUAGCUAGUUGGUGAGGUAAAGGCUCACCAAGGCGACGAUCAGUAGCUGGUCUGAGAGGACGACCAGCCACACUGGAACUGAGACACGGUCCAGACUCCUACGGGAGGCAGCAGUGGGGAAUUUUGGACAAUGGGCGCAAGCCUGAUCCAGCAAUGCCGCGUGAGUGAAGAAGGCCUUCGGGUUGUAAAGCUCUUUUGUCAGGGAAGAAACGGUAGAGGCUAAUAUCCUUUGCUAAUGACGGUACCUGAAGAAUAAGCACCGGCUAACUACGUG